UUCUACAGGCUUAACACAUGCAAGUCGAGGGGCAUCAGGAAGAAAGCUUGCUUUCUUUGCUGGCGACCGGCGCACGGGUGAGUAACACGUAUCCAACCUGCCCUUUACUCGGGGAUAGCCUUUCGAAAGAAAGAUUAAUACCCGAUGGCAUAAUGAUUCCGCAUGGUUUCAUUAUUAAAGGAUUCCGGUAAAGGAUGGGGAUGCGUUCCAUUAGGUUGUUGGUGAGGUAACGGCUCACCAAGCCUUCGAUGGAUAGGGGUUCUGAGAGGAAGGUCCCCCACAUUGGAACUGAGACACGGUCCAAACUCCUACGGGAGGCAGCAGUGAGGAAUAUUGGUCAAUGGGCGCUAGCCUGAACCAGCCAAGUAGCGUGAAGGAUGAAGGCUCUAUGGGUCGUAAACUUCUUUUAUAUAAGAAUAAAGUGCAGUAUGUAUACUGUUUUGUAUGUAUUAUAUGAAUAAGGAUCGGCUAACUCCGUGCCAGCAGCCGCGGUAAUACGGAGGAUCCGAGCGUUAUCCGGAUUUAUUGGGUUUAAAGGGAGCGUAGGUGGACUGGUAAGUCAGUUGUGAAAGUUUGCGGCUCAACCGUAAAAUUGCAGUUGAUACUGUCAGUCUUGAGUACAGUAGAGGUGGGCGGAAUUCGUGGUGUAGCGGUGAAAUGCUUAGAUAUCACGAAGAACUCCGAUUGCGAAGGCAGCUCACUGGACUGCAACUGACACUGAUGCUCGAAAGUGUGGGUAUCAAACAGGAUUAGAUACCCUGGUAGUCCACACAGUAAACGAUGAAUACUCGCUGUUUGCGAUAUACAGUAAGCGGCCAAGCGAAAGCAUUAAGUAUUCCACCUGGGGAGUACGCCGGCAACGGUGAAACUCAAAGGAAUUGACGGGGGCCCGCACAAGCGGAGGAACAUGUGGUUUAAUUCGAUGAUACGCGAGGAACCUUACCCGGGCUUAAAUUGCAGUGGAAUGAUGUGGAAACAUGUCAGUGAGCAAUCACCGCUGUGAAGGUGCUGCAUGGUUGUCGUCAGCUCGUGCCGUGAGGUGUCGGCUUAAGUGCCAUAACGAGCGCAACCCUUAUCUUUAGUUACUAACAGGUUAUGCUGAGGACUCUAGAGAGACUGCCGUCGUAAGAUGUGAGGAAGGUGGGGAUGACGUCAAAUCAGCACGGCCCUUACGUCCGGGGCUACACACGUGUUACAAUGGGGGGUACAGAAGGCAGCUAGCGGGUGACCGUAUGCUAAUCCCAAAAGCCUCUCUCAGUUCGGAUCGAAGUCUGCAACCCGACUUCGUGAAGCUGGAUUCGCUAGUAAUCGCGCAUCAGCCACGGCGCGGUGAAUACGUUCCCGGGCCUUGUACACACCGCCCGUCAAGCCAUGGGAGCCGGGGGUACCUGAAGUACGUAACCGCAAGGAUCGUCCUAGGGUAAAACUGGUGACUGGGGCUA
rnacentral:rRNA from 1 species